UCUACUGAUUAAAAGUGAGCAUUAAAUAUGGAAGUCUAUAAUCUUUAAUACCCCUUGAGACUUUUACCAAUGUUUGCCAAAUUGGUAAAAGUUUCAUUAAUCAUAACUUGUUUCAGGACAUGCAGUUUCAGAAAGCAUUCAGGACAAACUCAUCCACAACUUUCAUCACACAGUAAUUUAAUAUCACGAAGGGCCACUCAAUCUUGGAUCAUCUCUCAUCCAAAUGAAUAGAGAUAUCAUGGUCACAUUUGAAGCACAUUAAAGAAACACACUAUCCUAUUGGCCUGCUGAAUUCUUCGUUCUAACACUACCUCAGCACUAAAGAGUGACUGCUUAUAAAAGCAAAUUGGUUUCCAGAGUAAGGAACAAAUACAAUUUUACAGACUGAAGUCGUCAAAUCAAUCAACAGUUGAGACCAUACUAGACACAGACAUUGCCGGCUCCUUCCCAAGGGCAGUAGCCUAGGCAUCUUAGUCACAGCAAUCAAUGACAUAGUUAAUGAGUUAUUGCAAAGGAUUUAAGUGGCAUAAUUAUAAGUCAAUUAGUUCACUGUUAGGCUCAUUUUCUACAUGGGCCACUUUCAUGUCCAAUCACUUAAGAGCCACAGUUACGCACACGAAAGGGUUAAAGAGUUUAAAGAGCAAAACAAAAUAACCCCAGUUGCUGGGCUAGAACGACAAACUGAAUAUUCAAAUACUGUUGGCAACUAUUGCCUAUGAAAUUUUUGUCAGCUCAUCUAUGGAUUUGAUGUAUAUUAUUACCCAGUAAAUUUUUCUUGGGGACUUUGUACACACCAUGAAAUAUAGACUAAGUUUUUGUCAGUCAAAAGUAUUUCAAGUAGCUUUUAGACAAAACAUAUCCAUGAGUGUGAAAACGCUGUCUUGAGGAAUAGAUUACGUUACCCAUUUACCAGCAAGUCCACAAAAAAUAAAAU
rnacentral:lncRNA from 1 species